CAGCUGGUUCCACAUAGUGGUGGUGCGCGGCAAAAAUUGACUUGAGAAACGCUCAGUUGAGGAACGACGGACAUCGAGGUAAUACGGAUGGUAUUUUGUAUUCUACCUUGAAGUGCGAAAUUGAAAAUCAGCUGCAGCCAUACUAUACAACCGUCCCUUCAGGUGUAGACAAAGACAGGACAAGAAGGUCCCUUCAAAGACAAGCUGUAGUUUGUGAAUUCUAUAGAAUAUAUUAGAAGCUUGUGAUAAUAAAACAAUAUACAAUUGGCCUUGAGCGUAUGGGUCAAGAUCGGGCAGUAAGUCAGGAGUUGAACCGGCCUACGUAGAGCUGGAUCGAGUGGAGAAGCACCUGCUGCCGCUGAAAGCCAGGAAUUGGUGGGAGGUGGUACAGGACAGGGAGCGCUGGAAGUUUCUAGUAUCGGUGCCCAUGACACUUUUUAGUUCGCAGAGCCAGCGGAAUGUAUGAUAAUAAAACACAACAAAUAAAGAUAAUAAUGUAUUUCUUUUCUUACAAAAUUAUUUACAACACUUUAUUAUGCAUGUAUCCAUUGUCAUAUGCAAUAGAGAUAAAUUAAUUGCGGCCAUUUACAUAGCAUUAACGAUAAUUACAUCUAAAACAGAUCAAUAGGCACCAUUUCCUAAAUACUUUAAAACACGCUAAAGGACUCUACAUACUCCCCAAAUUUAAAAGCAAUAAAUAUUGGAAUGUUGAAAAAUUCAAAAUACCCCUUGGUGACUAAUUUCAAGAGAUAUACAUGUAUGCCCCGGCACUUAAAUCGGUACGAUGUGACAGCGCGUAUGAAAACACUUUAAGAACUUAUUUGCCGGGAAUUUUAACUGAUGGCUGCAUUAAUAAAUUAAAAUCGCAAUAUACAAUAAUGAUAUAUGUCCAUCAUUGGUUUGUGUAGAGUCCAUAUAUUAUUUACAUUUAUAUUGGUUUAUGGAUUAGUAACUUCUAGAAUGCAUCGCCUUGAGUAUAUGCGCAGUUACAUAAUUAUCGACAUAAACGCACAAAUAAUAUACAUAUUUUAUUGACGUGUUCUCUAUAUAUACAAAUACGUAAUACCCGUGUAGGCAAUUGUAAUAUUUAUCUAUAAAGGUUUUGUUAUGAUCUUUAAUCUUUUAUAGUCACGGAAUAGAAUACUUGGAAGGGCAUAGUAUCGCCUUUUUGACAACCCAAUUUCACGUUGUAUAUCCAAAGUAUAUAAAGUAUUGUUUAAUAACACCACAAGUUGGCUAUACUCUUUUCCAUCCAAACAAAACUA